rnacentral:rRNA from 1 species
UACGUAGGGGGCUAGCGUUGUCCGGAAUCAUUGGGCGUAAAGAGCGUGUAGGCGGCCCGGUAAGUCCGCUGUGAAAGUCGGGGGCUCAACCCUCGAAUGCCGGUGGAUACUGUCGGGCUAGAGUGCGGAAGGGGCUACUGGAAUUCUCGGUGUAGCGGUGAAAUGCGUAGAUAUCGAGAGGAACACCUGCGGCGAAGGCGGGUAGCUGGGCCGACACUGACGCUGAUGCGCGAAAGCCAGGGGAGCGAACGGG